UACAAACCCUCGUCCUUAAUAAAAGAAAAUACGCAAAGAUAAUACACAAAGCAUCGAUAUUAUCUCACACCAAAAAAAUCUCAAAACGCUGACGCUUCUCUUUUCUAUUCCUCUCUCAGGUGAUCAUGUCAUUCACCGGAACUCCGCCGUCCGCCACCGGCGAAUUAAAGCAUUUCUACUGCUACCAAUGCAACCGAACAAUCAGCGUACCGGUCUCCGCUUCUUCCGAUCCGUCGUGUCCUUUGUGCCACGAAGGUUUCCUGGAAGAAUGUGAAAGCCCUAACCCUAAUAUUCUCAAUUUCAAUAAUUCCCAAUUUUCUAACCUAAAUCAAAAUCCUAUGAAUGAUAGUGAGACCAUUCAUAAUCCAUUUUAUGAUCCUUUGUUUUCUCAGGAUCCUUUCUCAACUCUUUUACCUCUCCUUUUCUCCUCCUCUGCGAACAUCGAUUUUCAAAACCCUAACUCCAAUCUUGGGAACUCGUCGUCUUCGGGGGCAGCAACACCGGGUGAUGCUUCGUUUAAUCCGAGGGAUUUCUUGAGGAGUCAUCUCCAGAAUCUGUAUUCGGGUGGGGCCCGAAUUGAGUUUGUGGUGAAUAAUAAUUCGGAUUCAGCUGGGGGGUUUCGAAUGCCGGCGAACCUUGGGGAUUACUUUAUUGGACCUGGGCUUGAGCAGUUGAUUCAGCAAUUGGCUGAAAAUGAUCCUAAUCGGCAUGGGACGCCUCCUGCUGCUAAAUCAGCUAUUGAUGGUUUGCCUACUAUAAUAGUUACUGAUGAAGUGUUGAAUUCGGAGAUGAAUCAGUGUGCUGUUUGUAAAGAUGAGUUUGAGAAAGGGGCUGAAGCUAAGCAAAUGCCCUGUAAGCAUGUUUAUCAUAAUGAGUGUAUAUUGCCUUGGCUUGAACUGCAUAAUACUUGCCCUGUUUGUCGAUAUGAGUUGCCUACUGAAGAUGGCGAUAAUGAGACGCGGGCUGGUAAUGGAGCUGGAGAUAGCCAAGGGAGCAAUGCCGAAAGCGGCAGUGGGGAUAAUCAGACUGCGGAGAGGCGGUUUAGUAUUUCACUUCCUUGGCUGUUUGGCAGACAUGGGUCCGGCAAUGAUGGCGAUGGGACUGGUGGUGGUGGUCGUAGUGGACAAAGUAGCUCUUAAAGAUUUUGGGUUGAAGAUUGUGAUUAGUCCCCUCAAUCCUUCUUCUGCAAGAGCAAAAAGAAAAAGAUACAUACACACAGCUCUAGUUUGGUGCAAGAUUCUAGCAUUUUAGUUGUAUCUUUAUUGUAACUCUGAAAUCAUGCAACUGUUGCAAAAGGAAACAGAUGGUUAAUUAUUACAAAAAGAAUUGAUAAUUUGUGUAAAUUUGUAUCAUUGUGCUCUUUUGAGUCUACAUUUCUUCAUGGGAAAUCUUUUUUUUUUUAAUAUAUUCUGAUUGUUGCUUGCUGCCAGUGGCGGACCAAAACUUAACGUAGGAGGAUCAAAUUUUUUA